rnacentral:rRNA from 1 species
GGACCCGCACAAGCGGUGGAUGAUGUGGUUUAAUUCGAUGCAACGCGAAAAACCUUACCUACCCUUGACAUGUACGGAACUUGCCAGAGAUGGCUUGGUGCUCGAAAGAGAGCCGUAACACAGGUGCUGCAUGGCUGUCGUCAGCUCGUGUCGUGAGAUGUUGGUUAAGUCCCGCAACGAGCGCAACCCUUGUCAUUAGUUGCUACAUUUAGUUGGGCACUCUAAUGAGACUGCCGGUGACAAACCGGAGGAAGGUGGGGAUGACGUCAAGUCCUCAUGGCCCUUAUGGGUAGGGCUACACACGUCAUACAAGUGGCCUGGUACAAAGGGUUGCCAACCCGCGAGGGGAAGCUAA